rnacentral:rRNA from 1 species
AUUGAACGCUGGCGGCAGGCCUAACACAUGCAAGUCGAGCGAGCGGCGGAGGGGUGAGUAUUGUCUGGGAAACUGCCUGAUGGAGGGGGGUAACUCCUGGAAAAGGUAGCUAAUACCCCAUACCAUCAGAUGUGCCCAGAUGGGAUUGGCUAGUGGGUGGGGAAACGGUUCACCUAGGCGACGAUCCCUAGCUGGUCUGAGAGGAUGACCAGCCAACCUGGAACUGAGACACGGUCCAGACUCCUACGGGAGGCAGCAGUGGGGAAUAUUGCACAAUGGGCGCAAGCCUAAUGCAGCCAUGCCGCGUGUGUGAAGAAGGCCUUCGGGUUGUAAAGCACUUUCAGCGGGGAGGCGUUACCCGCAGAAGAAGCACCGGCUAACUCCGUGCCAGCAGCCGCGGUAAUUC